GUGGGGAAUUUUGGACAAUGGGCGCAAGCCUGAUCCAGCAAUGCCGCGUGCAGGAAGAAGGCCUUCGGGUUGUAAACUGCUUUUGUACGGAACGAAACGGUCCGGGUUAAUACCCUGGGCUAAUGACGGUACCGUAAGAAUAAGCAACGGCUAACUACGUGCCAGCAGCCGCGGUAAUACGUAGGGUGCAAGCGUUAAUCGGAAUUACUGGGCGUAAAGCGUGCGCAGGCGGUUUUGUAAGACAGGCGUGAAAUCCCCGGGCUCAACCUGGGAAUUGCGCUUGUGACUGCAAGGCUGGAGUGCGGCAGAGGGGGAUGGAAUUCCGCGUGUAGCAGUGAAAUGCGUAGAUAUGCGGAGGAACACCGAUGGCGAAGGCAAUCCCCUGGGCCUGCACUGACGCUCAUGCACGAAAGCGUGGGGAGCAAACAGGAUUAGAAACCCGGGUAGUCC
rnacentral:rRNA from 1 species